AUAUAUAUGAGUUGAUCUAGGAUACUUUUACAAGGUAUCAUCCCCAUGUUGCUAUCACUUUUUUAGCUAUUGGAUCUACUUUUUGAUUACAAAUAGCCCUUGGAUCAAACAUUAUUCCACCUACCACCACCUACCCCCACCUACCCCCAUCAUCUCAACCUCACAUCUCUUCAUCCAAGGGCUAAAAACACACAAGUAUCACUUAGGUGAUACUUGUAAAAGUAUUCUAGCCCUUAAAUAUAUAUAUAUA
rnacentral:lncRNA from 1 species